CUCUUCUCCUCCACCAAGCUCACACAGAAUGGUAGGUCUCUUCUCCUCCACCAAGCUCACACAGAAUGGUAGGUCUCUUCUCCUCCACCAAGCUCACACAGAAUGGUAGGUCUCUUCUCCUCCACCAAGCUCACACAGAAUGGUAGGUCUCUUCUCCUCCACCAAGCUCACACAGAAUGGUAGGUCUCUUCUCCUCCACCAAGCUCACACAGAAUGGUAGGUCUCUUCUCCUCCACCAAGCUCACACAGAAUGGUAGGUCUCUUCUCCUCCACCAAGCUCACACAGAAUGGUAGGUCUCUUCUCCUCCACCAAGCUCACACAGAAUGGUAGGUCUCUUCUCCUCCACCAAGCUCACACAGAAUGGUAGGUCUCUUCUCCUCCACCAAGCUCACACAGAAUGGUAGGUCUCUUCUCCUCCACCAAGCUCACACAGAAUGGUAGGUCUCUUCUCCUCCACCAAGCUCACACAGAAUGGUAGGUCUCUUCUCCUCCACCAAGCUCACACAGAAUGGUAGGUCUCUUCUCCUCCACCAAGCUCACACAGAAUGGUAGGUCUCUUCUCCUCCACCAAGCUCACACAGAAUGGUAGGUCUCUUCUCCUCCACCAAGCUCACACAGAAUGGUGGGUCUCUUCUCCUCCACCAAGCUCACACAGAAUGGUGGGUCUCUUCUCCUCCACCAAG